rnacentral:rRNA from 1 species
GAUCCUGGCUCAGGACGAACGCUGGCGGCGUGCUUAACACAUGCAAGUCGAGCGGAAAGGCCCUUCGGGGUACUCGAGCGGCGAACGGGUGAGUAACACGUGAGCAACCUGCCCUUAGCUCCGGGAUAGCUCCGGGAAACCGGAAUUAAUACCGGAUAUGACCACGGCCGACAUCUGCCGUGGUGGAAAGGAUUCCGGCUAAGGAUGGGCUCGCGGCCUAUCAGCUAGUUGGUGGGGUAAUGGCCCACCAAGGCGACGACGGGUAGCCGGCCUGAGAGGGCGACCGGCCACACUGGGACUGAGACACGGCCCAGACUCCUACGGGAGGCAGCAGUGGGGAAUAUUGCGCAAUGGGCGAAAGCCUGACGCAGCGACGCCGCGUGGGGGAUGAAGGCCUUCGGGUUGUAAACCCCUUUCAGCAGGGACGAAGCGAAAGUGACGGUACCUGCAGAAGAAGCGCCGGCUAACUACGUGCCAGCAGCCGCGGUAAUACGUAGGGCGCAAGCGUUGUCCGGAAUUAUUGGGCGUAAAGAGCUCGUAGGCGGUCUGUUGCGUCCGCUGUGAAAACCCAGGGCUUAUCCCUGGGCUUGCAGUGGAUACGGGCAGACUAGAGGCAGGUAGGGGAGAAUGGAAUUCCCGGUGUAGCGGUGAAAUGCGCAGAUAUCGGGAGGAACACCGGUGGCGAAGGCGGUUCUCUGGGCCUGACCUGACGCUGA